AUGGCUGAAUGCUUCAAUAGGGUGCUCAAAGGUGAACGUGGAUUACCCGUGACGGCAAUAGUUCAAUACACAUUUGACAAGAUGAAUGCGUACUUUGUAAAGUACUCGAUGGAAACCGAUGCACAGAUAGCGGGUGAGAACCCACGGAAGUACAAGUACAAGUUCCCACCCAAAGUUGAUGAAUGGUUGGUAUUUCAAUCACGGAAGUCGGACUCAGAAGAAGCUAUAUUAUAUGACAACGAAGAGUGGAAGUACGAAGUGAAAGAGCCAGGAGGAACCACAAACGAUGGCCGGCAACAUGGAGGUCGGGCUUUCAAGGUGUCGUUAACACAAUGUGAUUGCACUUGCGGGAGGCCAUUGUUGCUUCAUCUCCCAUGCUCACACUUGUAUACCGCCGGUCGCGUUAGGAAUGUGGACAUCAAUCACCCACGCACCGUGAGGGAGUCGGAAUUCUCAAUCAUGACGGUCAAGAAAACAUGGGCUCCCCGCUUUCACCCAUACUUUGACCAAUCACAAUGGCCGAAGUAUCAUGGAGUUCAACACUACAAAAAAAUACACUUCCGUGAUGAUACGUGUUUGUCACAGUAG
rnacentral:rRNA from 1 species